GCAAGCUUGAGUCUCGUAGAGGGGGGUAGAAUUCCAGGUGUAGCGGUGAAAUGCGUAGAGAUCUGGAGGAAUACCGGUGGCGAAGGCGGCCCCCUGGACGAAGACUGACGCUCAGGUGCGAAAGCGUGGGGAGCAAACAGGAUUAGAUACCCUGGUAGUCCACGCCGUAAACGAUGUCGACUUGGAGGUUGUGCCCUUGAGGCGUGGCUUCCGGAGCUAACGCGUUAAGUCGACCGCCUGGGGAGUACGGCCGCAAGGUUAAAACUCAAAUGAAUUGACGGGGGCCCGCACAAGCGGUGGAGCAUGUGGUUUAAUUCGAUGCAACGCGAAGAACCUUACCUGGUCUUGACAUCCACAGAACUUUCCAGAGAUGGAUUGGUGCCUUCGGGAAC
rnacentral:rRNA from 1 species